GAUGAACGCUGGCGGCGUGCCUAAUACAUGCAAGUCGAGCGAACGGACGAGAAGCUUGCUUCUCUGAUGUUAGCGGCGGACGGGUGAGUAACACGUGGAUAACCUACCUAUAAGACUGGGAUAACUUCGGGAAACCGGAGCUAAUACCGGAUGAUAUUUUGAACCGCAUGGUUCAAAAGUGAAAGACGGUCUUGCUGUCACUUAUAGAUGGAUCCGCGCUGCAUUAGCUAGUUGGUAAGGUAACGGCUUACCAAGGCAACGAUGCAUAGCCGACCUGAGAGGGUGAUCGGCCACACUGGAACUGAGACACGGUCCAGACUCCUUCGGGAGGCAGCAGUAGGGAAUCUUCCGCAAAGGGCGAAAGCCUGACGGAGCAACGCCGCGUGAGUGAUGAAGGUCUUCGGAUCGUAAAACUCUGUUAUUAGGGAAGAACAUAUGUGUAAGUAACUGUGCACAUCUUGACGGUACCUAAUCAGAAAGCCACGGCUAACUACGUG
rnacentral:rRNA from 1 species